CACGUUUUGAAGCUGGUCAGCAGCCUCUGUGCAACCACCUUCGGACUGCCUGUGCUGGGCUGUGCUGUUUAUGCAGGAAGAAGCACUCCCAGGAGAUUCCUGCAGAUAAGCAACAGGAAUGAUGGUGCCUCUUUAUUGCUGUGUGGAAUUGUGGCGUUUUCCAUGUGCUUCAAGGUUUCAGAUAACGAAUCUGGAGGCUGCUUGUGCUGCAUGCACUGCCUGACGUGGGACACCUCCAAGGGGAACCUCUUAGAAGGUACUUUCAUUACCUUCAUAUAGCUCUCACUUAGGUGGGGGCCAUGUUCUUGCACUGUGUAACAGGAGUCAAUUUCUGGUUGACCGAGGCUAUAUGUGGUGUCAGAACUUUGUGGGGUUGGUCUUCAUGGUGCUUUAACAGAAGAAUGACCAACGCCGAUUGAAAACAAGCAGGUGAAUUGAUGCACAUGCACAGACCUGCUAAAUUACCACUUUCAUAGAAAAGUACUGCACUUGGAUUGCCAGUUCCUCUGUAAACAUUCAUGACUGGUGAUAUUUUUUUAAAUAGAGUUUUGACUCUGCUACAGCAUUCUGUGUUGCCCAGCAGUGUAAGUAAUCUGUAUUUAAAAUCAUAUGACUUACAAAAAAAAAUAAAAUAAAAUAAUUGAAGGUUUUGAUGGGUUUU
rnacentral:lncRNA from 1 species